GGUAAAAUGGCUGAAUGAAAGCAUUGGACUGUAAAUUCAAAAACAGAGACUAAAUAUCUUUUUUUUUUCCA
rnacentral:tRNA from 1 species